rnacentral:piRNA from 1 species
CACAGAAAUAGGUGCUGCCUCUUGUGAA